CCUACGGGGGGCAGCAGUGGGGAAUCUUGCGCAAUGGGCGAAAGCCUGACGCAGCGACGCCGCGUGGGUGAUGAAGGCCUUCGGGUUGUAAAGCCCUGUGGGGAGGGACGAAUAAGGUCGACCUAAUACGUCGACAGAUGACGGUACCUCCUUAGCAAGCACCGGCUAACUCUGUGCCAGCAGCCGCGGUAAGACAGAGGGUGCAAACGUUGUUCGGAAUUACUGGGCGUAAAGCGCGUGUAGGCGGUUCGGUAAGUCGGAUGUGAAAGCCCGGGGCUCAACCCCGGAAGUGCAUUCGAUACUACCGAGCUAGAGUACUGGAGAGGAUGGUGGAACUCUCGGUGUAGAGGUGAAAUUCGUAGAUAUCGAGAAGAACACCGGUGGCGAAGGCGGCCAUCUGGACAGAUACUGACGCUGAGACGCGAAAGCGUGGGGAGCAAACAGGAUUAGAUACCCUAGUAGUC
rnacentral:rRNA from 1 species